UGGAAGGAACAACCAUGCCUGCAGGAGCUUCUGCUGGAAUGCCUGCAUCGGAUGUUGCUGUUGGACCUGGUAAAGUGCAGCAACAAUCUUGGAGAUAUGACCAGCAAGCUCCUGGUCAAGCUGCUGAUCACAUGUUUUCCAGCCAAUUUAACAACCAAACACAGGUUUUACCACAGCUCCAAGCUCAUCCGCAAGUCUUGAACACGCCUAGCCAUUAUUCUCAAGGGGCUACUAGUUUUAACCAAAUUCAAGACCACAACCUCAACCUGCAAGCACAAGGUGGUCCUCCUCAGACAUUGCCCUCGACCAUCAAUUCUCAAGGUACACAGCUCUCAGCCCAGCCCCAUAUUGAUCGGCAGCUUCAGCUUGGAAGGCAUCAAGAUGCUGCCAGUGCUUCCGGGAUAGCUCAUGCCACAGAUGCCGUAGGACAUUAUGGUUCAUCUGUUCCUCAACAACAAACAAAUCUUGCAUCAUUGACCAACCAGACUCAUGGUGCUAAUGUUUCCCAGCCACAAGCUGGCAUGCCUGGUGCCUCUGGCAUGGGGCUUGCAACUCAAAUGCAGCAAUUGCAGUCUGCACUUUAUGGGUCAGCACAGGAGGGAUCAGAAUCGGAGGUUGACAAGAACGAACGCUACCAGGCAACUCUAUUAUUCGCAGCUAGUCUCCUCUCUAAGAUACACAACCAGAAGCCAAGCAGUCAAAGUGGGCAAGGAUCAGACAAUCAUUGAGAGGAUCUCCUUGAGCUAGGUAGGGAUGAUGAAGAUCGAGACAGAGUAGUGUGAAGGCUAAAUGGACCGACGCAGAUUAGAACUUUAUACUCAGCGUUUAGCGUUUUGAUUGUAACUUUUCUGAAAAAUUGAAACAAAUUUUACUUAAUGUUUGUUUGUUAGCAUGAGUUGUAGA
rnacentral:misc_RNA from 1 species